GUAGGUGAACCUGCGGAAGGAUCAUUACCGAGUGCGGGCUGCCUCCGGGCGCCCAACCUCCCACCCGUGACUACCUAACACUGUUGCUUCGGCGGGGAGCCCCCUAGGGGCGAGCCGCCGGGGACCACUGAACUUCAUGCCUGAGAGUGAUGCAGUCUGAGCCUGAAUACAAAUCAGUCAAAACUUUCAACAAUGGAUCUCUUGGUUCCGGCAUCGAUGAAGAACGCAGCGAACUGCGAUAAGUAAUGUGAAUUGCAGAAUUCAGUGAAUCAUCGAGUCUUUGAACGCACAUUGCGCCCCCUGGCAUUCCGGGGGGCAUGCCUGUCCGAGCGUCAUUGCUGCCCUCAAGCCCGGCUUGUGUGUUGGGUCGUCGUCCCCCCCGGGGGACGGGCCCGAAAGGCAGCGGCGGCACCGUGUCCGGUCCUCGAGCGUAUGGGGCUUUGUCACCCGCUCGAUUAGGGCCGGCCGGGCGCCAGCCGGCGUCUCCAACCUUAUUUUUCUCAGGUUGACCUCGGAUCAGGUAGGGAUACCCGCUGAACUUAAGCAUAUCAAUAAGCGGAGGAAAAGAAACCAACCGGGAUUGCCUCAGUAA
rnacentral:rRNA from 1 species